GCUCCUCUGAUGUUAGCGGCGGACGGGUGAGUAACACGUGGAUAACCUACCUAUUAGACUGGGAUUACUCCGGGAAACCGGGGCUAAUACCGGAUAAUAUAUUGAACCGCAUGGUUCAAUGUUGAAAGACGGUUUCGGCUGUCCUUUAUAAAGGGACCCGCGCCGUAUUACCUAGUUGGUAAGGUAACGGCUUACCAAGGCAACAUG
rnacentral:rRNA from 1 species